GUCCGCUCCCGCCCGCCGGCCCGCGUUUUUUUAACUCUCCGCCACGUCUCGCGAGGGCGGCGGCGCGCAGGUUGCCGCAGCAACGGCAUCACGCGGGAACUACGGUGAAAGCCGGGCGUUACCUGGCGUGCUGCCUGGCCUGCUGAGUCCCUCCAGCAUUUUAUGUGUGCUGCAUGUUAAUGAGAGCGAUCAGAGGAGAAUGGCCAAGCUGGUUGUGGUGAACUAUGUGCCUGUCUGGAUACGCUCCCUGCUGACUGCUCCUAUGGCUCCUCCCACAAACCCUGUAUAAAGGCCAUCAAGGCCUGAGCCCAGCCUCUCAGUCUCCAGGAUGUAGUAUGGUGGUCACUCACUGUUUGUUCCUUCUUCCAGUCAAUAAAAGCCGAUAUCUCGC